rnacentral:rRNA from 1 species
UACGGAGGAUCCAAGCGUUAUCCGGAAUCAUUGGGUUUAAAGGGUCCGUAGGCGGUUUUGUAAGUCAGUGGUGAAAGCCAAUCGCUCAACGGUGGAACGGCCAUUGAUACUGCAAGACUUGAAUUAUUAGGAAGUAACUAGAAUAUGUAGUGUAGCGGUGAAAUGCUUAGAUAUUACAUGGAAUACCAAUUGCGAAGGCAGGUUACUACUAAUGGAUUGACGCUGAUGGACGAAAGCGUGGGGAGCGAACAGG